rnacentral:lncRNA from 1 species
AUUCUACACAUUUAACAAGGAAUCCCAUGCCUUGAUGAUACGCUGCCUCCUUGAGGGUCGUGUCGCGACGCCGGAGGAAAUUCGAUCUGUCACGCUCGCGUCGGUGCUCCAGAGCUGGCGCCUGGUGUGGACGUCGCCACGCCGGAGGAAAUUCGAUCUGUCACGCUCGCGUCGGUGCUCCAGAGCUGGCGCCUGGUGUGGAAGGACCGGAAUGAGGACACGGCGUACCUUACGGCCUGGAAGCGGAUACAGGACAAGCUCGUCGUGAGUAUCGACCCCGUGAAUGGUAAUG